GGCUACAAAUGUGAUGGAUUAGUUAGCAUAUAUCUAAUGGUCGUUCCAAUCUAGAGUUGAAAUUUCAAUUUGAAUUGGUCGUGAGAACAACAAACGUUUC